AAUUAAGUUAUAUAACGGACAAAAAACGAUUUGACAUGGCGCCAACUAUUUUAAAGUGAGUUUUGAUCAAUUUCCUCAUCGAAUAUUUCAAGAAAACUGCGUUUUCUCUACAGUAUUUCGUAUAGUGAAUGUAGAUAGAUUCAUAUCAAGUUCUCUAGAGAUCUGAAGAUCUAUAACUCGUAAAACACUCGUGUGAAUCCGAAGGGAGUUUCAGUUGGGUCCAAGAUCCCCAUAGCAAUUUAUUGCAAACAGUUUUCGUUUCUUCUCGAUAUAGCAUUCGAUCCUAAAGAAAAUUAUUCGAAAAAAUUCAAAUUAUUUUAAAAUUUUCAUAGAAAUUUUUAUAUAAUUUAAAAAAAUUUAUCAACUUCUUAUCGCGAAAUGUAGACUUAUAUAUCACAUUUAUUUUUAACCGCUUCAAAAUUAAUUUUAAAUCAUUUAUUUUACAGUAUUGUUGCAAUAUUGUUUCUUGCGCAAUUUAAUAUAAAUUGCAAAUUGAUUCGAGAUAUGUAUGCAAACAAUUAUUUACAGAGAAGAAGUUCUAUGUUUCAAAAUUGUGACAUUGGCGACUCGAAGACCACAAGACCGAUCUAAUUGAUUAUUCAGACAAUUGUGCAAACGUCAGAUCGAUAAAUAAAUCAAGGUCGUUACUAUAUAAACCAAUUAAAAUGAAUCAUUUUCGAUUGUUUACGGGGUUAUUUCGUUUCUUAUCGUAAACGUUAUCGCAACGUGGAGAUAGAGCGCUAUUUAUCUCGACAAAUUUGAUAGUUCUGUAAUUGUCUGCAACUACUCUGUCAAGCGAGAACUUACCUUCUGUACAUGUAUUUUUAACAAAGAAAUCUUGUAGUGCAUCCCUUUCACAGAUAAUGAAAGCUUCAAAUUUUGUUACAUUUCUUGUGAUAGUCGCAUUCGUUGUUGGUUUCUGUCCAUGUUUAAUAUCAAGUGCCCCUUCUUCGGAUAACGGAUUCAGAAGUGAAUUGUGUAAAGUAUUAUGCAAUAA